UACGGGGGGAGCAAGCGUUGUUCGGAUUUACUGGGCGUAAAGGGCGCGUAGGCGGUCUUGUAAGUCUUGUGUGAAAUCCCUCGGCUUAACUGAGGAACUGCACGGGAUACUGCAUGACUUGAGAUCGGGAGAGGGAAGCGGAAUUCCGGGUGUAGCGGUGAAAUGCGUAGAUAUCUGGAGGAACACCAAUGGCGAAGGCAGCACUCUGGGACGGUACUGACGCUGAGACGCGCAAAGCGUGGGAGGCAACAGGG
rnacentral:rRNA from 1 species